UGCAGAAGGAAGUAGGAUGAUAUGGUC
rnacentral:piRNA from 1 species